CUUUGCAAGCAGGGGGUCAGCGGUUCGAUCCCGCUCAGCUCCACCAAAUCGAUUGGUGUCGAGACUGACGGCAUGUUGUCUUUUGAAGAAGUAAAGGUUUUGCAUCGGCUUUAGAGCCUGAUGCCUGUUCUGCAUACAUUGUGAAGAGAAGAUUGAUCUGGAGGCUUCCAGGUGUUUUGGGUUUUGGCCCGAAACGUCCGAGCCCAGUUCUGAUGAUCCCUUGGAUGGCCUAGCCGGCCGGAUAUGGGUGAAGGACUGGAGGUAGGAAGGAAGCUUGUCGCUCUGGGUCGUUGUUGUUUGCGGUCCUUCUGGGCUGCAUCUGACGGACGACUUGAUUGACGUUGCCUGACCGCGCGUCACCGGAUUUAAUCUCGAGAAGCUGGUCUUAAGAUAGACUGCAAGCGGGCUGCUCGGCGUAGCUCCAAUAAAGCAGAUCUAUCGAACACGUCGAUGGCAUUGUUAGAAAGCGUGAUUGUAAAAGGUAAUCACGCAUUGUUGGUCUGGUAGCUGAGAGGCUUCCGGACUUUGACUGGUUCGACAUACUGAGAAGUAUCUGGCUGGUCAGAUUUGGAACCCCUUCGAGCGCAAGCGAGGAGGAUAGGAAUUCCAAAUCCAACAAAGACGAUGAGCAUUGGCAAUGAGAACGAUCAAGUGUCGUAAGGGUAUUUAGUGGAUGCCUAGGCAUGCACAGGCGAUGAAGGACGUGAUACGCUGCGAAAA
rnacentral:misc_RNA from 1 species